AAAUCAACAAUUCCAUAAGCUUGGGCUUCUGUUGCUGACAUAAAAAUAUCUCUUUCCAUAUCUUCGUGUAUAACCCACACGGGUUGGCCCGUUUUUUCUGCAUAAACCCUUGUGAGGGUUUCACGCAGUUUCGCCAUUUCUAUCGCUUCCAGGACAAAUUCGCCUACUUGUGCCAUAUAAAAACCACUAUAAGGUUCAUGUAUCAUUACCCUGAUGAUAUAACAAAAUAAAAGCUUCCCCUAUCUCGCAUGAUAAAGCAAAGAAAAAAGAAAGAUAAAGAAUAGAAAAAAGAUAGAAUUGAACAACCGUACAGGCAUCUUUUGUGCAUACGGCUCUACAAGAAAAUUGACCCCCAUUGAAGAAAGAGAAAAAUAGAAUCUAUCAGACUCAGAUGGGUAAAUAAUCAAAUUGCCAUCCUUCCUUUCGGAGGAAUUCAAAAAUACUAUGAUGGCUCCGUUGCUUUAUAUGUUUAUUUUUUCUUUUUUUUGUCUGUGAUUCAGCAAUCCCAAAGUUUCUUUUUAAUCCGAUCAAAUAAGGAAAAAUUAUUUUUUUUUCGUACUCUUUCAUAACAUAAAUAUUGUUAAGAACUCUCCGGCAUGAAAACAAAAAGUUUGUGACGCUGAACUGAACUCCCGAUAUAUAAUAGAAAAUCGGAAAUACCCCUUAUCUCAUACUACUCUCUCGAUACAGAAUCUAAUGUUUUGAAAAAAAAAAACAAUACAAAAAUUUCUCAUAUCGAAUUCGAAGUGCCAUGCUAUUAUUACUUAGUAUUCAUAUGGCGAAGGCAUAGUCUUCUUUUUUCUCUCAAAUAAAAACCUCAUUGGCGCCAAGCGUGAGGGAAUGCUAUACGUUUGGUAAGUUGUCCUCCGGCCAGGAUAAAAGAUCCCAUUGAAGCAGCUAAUCCUAGGCAUAUUGUAUGGAUAUCUGGUCGCACAAAUUGCAUAGUAUCAUAAAUGGCGAUCCCAGGUAUUACCCAGCCCCCAGGAGAGUUUACAAACAAAUACAGGUCUUUGUUCUCAUCCUCCAUACUGAGAUACAACAUAAGACCAAUAAGUUGAUUCGAAAGCUCGGUACCAAUCCCUUGGCCUAAAAAAAGUAAUCUUUCUCGAUAAAGUCGGUUGAUUAGGGUAAAAUUGUAUCCCUUAGGAACCGUACAUGCGCCUUUUGAUGCAUACGGUUCAAAAAAAUUGUGAAUCAAUGUAGAGAUUCCAGUCCUCUUUCUUUUUUUCUACAAGGGUUCUUUCUUACUUCUAACGAAAGGGCUUUUCUUCGAUUUUUCAAUAAAGACGAGUUUUUACUCCUUUUUGAUAUUUUCUAUUAUAAAAUUCGAAGUUAUAAGAAAGGGUCAUUAAACUUAUCGAAUUAACUUCUCAUUGAUGUAUUCUUUCAUCGAGAUUUAAUCCAAACCGCGAUGGUAUUUUCUUGUUCCUGAAUGGGUCUGUUUCAUCUUUUUAGGUUUAUGCUCUACUCCGGGUAAAGAUCCGCCCGAUUUGGAUUUGUACAUAUAGGACAAAUGCUCCCAUUACCAUUUCUUUUUGUAUUUUUUUUUUUUUUUUUCAAUUCAUUUUAUACAAGUAUUUAUUAGAGUUGAGAUAACUUUGCUUGACAAUUAGGAUCUCUUUACAAAGAAAAAAUAUGAAUAGCAAUCAUAGAUAUCUUACAUAGAUAUCUUACCAAUCCAAUUGGGUUUUUUCUAAACGGAGCCUGGAUACUUCAUUUAUUUAGUCCAACCAAGCCAACCAUAAAUUAUUCUAAUUGAUAAUAGUAAUAUGAAUCCCCUCAAAAAUGGAUCUAAUUGCACUUCACGCUCCAAAUUUUUGAUGAUUCAAUUUAUCUUUCUUGGGCGAAACGGGGGAUAUCUCGAUCGGGGGAGAGAACGGGGAAAUACCAUAUGACCCAAUAUAUCUGACAAGUCGCACUAUAUGUCAACCCAAGAUGAAAUUGGAUCUCCAGGAUUUCGGAAUACAACUCUUGGAACACCAAUAGGCAUUAAAUGAAAGAACGAAUUAAAUACUAUAUUUCACUUUGAGGUGGAAACGUAACAAUUUUUUUUAUUGUCUUUAUAAUAUUCAUAUUGGUUUUUAUCGUAUUUCUUUUAUCCAUAGAUUCUCAAAAUUCAUAAAGAAAGACAGAAUGAAUAAACUCAAAUUAUUACGAAUAGGUCUUUCUAAUGAUAAAUAAGUAUGGACUCAUUCGCUCAUAGAAAAUGGGAUCAACUCCCCCAUUGCGUAUUGGUACUUAUCGAGUAUAGAAUAAAUCUGCUUCUCUUUGUUCCUACGAACAGAAUUGUUCCAUUAUUACCAACAGAAUAGAAACCCUUGUUCGGAAAUAAUUGACUCAACAAGAGUGGUCCAUAGGAUAGUCAUAUUAUAGUCUUUUCCAAUGCAAUAAAGUUACGUAGUGUUCAUUUAUCUUUGAUAUAAGGGGUAUUUCCAUGGGUUUGCCUUGGUAUCGUGUUCAUACCGUUGUAUUGAAUGAUCCCGGUCGGUUGCUUUCUGUU
rnacentral:lncRNA from 1 species